rnacentral:rRNA from 1 species
AUUGAACGCUGGCGGCGUGCUUAACACAUGCAAGUCGAGCGGCAGCGCGGGAGCAAUCCUGGCGGCGAGCGGCGAACGGGUGAGUAAUGCUUCGGAAUCUGCCCUUCAGUGGGGAAUAACCAGUCGAAAGACUGGCUAAUACCGCAUACGAACUGAGGUUGAAAGCAGGGGAUCGCAAGACCUUGCGCUGAUGGAUGAGCCGAAGUCGGAUUAGCUAGUUGGUGGGGUAAAGGCCCACCAAGGCGACGAUCCGUAGCUGGUCUGAGAGGAUGAUCAGCCACACUGGGACUGAGACACGGCCCAGACUCCUACGGGAGGCAGCAGUGGGGAAUUUUGGACAAUGGGCGCAAGCCUGAUCCAGCCAUUCCGCGUGCAGGACGAAGG